UAGAUGUCGUCUUUGGUACUUGGCAUUCUUCCCAGAGGAAGAUAAUGGGAAUCAGACAUGCUUCUGAUUGUCCCACCAGCCAGCUGCCGGUUUCAGCCCAAGCCAUUCUGAAUUGGAGGAUGAUGGUCUAGCUUUACUUCUCAAAUAGGCUACUCCUUCCCACAUGGUCAGGUCGCAGAUGAAAAAUCAGUCUCCUGGGAAAGCUCUCAGCCUGAUUGAGAAAGAAGACCUAUAAAGAAACAAUUACAAUACAGCACUCAAAAUGUCACAGGGGAAAAAGUUUCUAUAGAAAAUGGAAGACAAUGUCUAAAUUCAGCGGCCUAAAGUGAGCAAUCCCGUGAAUAUUUGCCUCCUAGUUAAUCUGUCAUGACCCAUUAUGUUAAUAGUUGGGAGACUGGCUUCAAUUCUGGAAAAGACGCGGGUGUGAAGAGUCUGAGCGUAUUUCCAAACUAGGGACUAGAAGAGGGCUUCAGUUCCAGUGAGGCCUUGGUGCCAGGGAUAGUAAGUGAACAGAGACAAGGUUAAAAGGCUAGAUGUCUGAAAGGGAGUAGUUGUUUAGGGGUGAAGAGGGAGAGAGAACACGGGUAGUUUUUAGUGCUUUAGGGUCCUGAGUAUAAUUUGCAUCACCAUUUUUAAGAAGGAGAGAUGGGUAAAGCUGGAAUCCCAAAGUCACGGUUGCCUCAUGACAUUAGAUCUUGAAGGAAAAAUUAACUGUGUUUCUCAGUAGGUGGUAGUAAAGAUGUGGC
rnacentral:lncRNA from 1 species